GGCCGAUUAGCUCAGUUGGUUAGAGCGUGGUGCUAAUAGGGGGUUAAGGUUGAGUCAACUCAACACCUUCUCUUACGCCAAGGUCGUCGGUUCGAUCCCGGCAUUGGCCA